rnacentral:rRNA from 1 species
ACCGGCGCACGGGUGCGUAACGCGUAUGCAACCUACCUUUAACUGGGGAAUAAUCCGAAGAAAUUUGGUCUAAUACCCCAUAACAUUUCGGAAGGCAUCUUCUGAAUUUGAAAACUCCGGUGGUUAAAGAUGGGCAUGCGUUGUAUUAGCUUGAUGGUGAGGUAACGGCUCACCAUGGCUGUGAUACAUAGGGGGACUGAGAGGUUUUCCCCCACACUGGUACUGAGACACGGACCAGACUCCUACGGGAGGCAGCAGUGAGGAAUAUUGGUCAAUGGACGCAAGUCUGAACCAGCCAUGCCGCGUGCAGGAUGAAGGUGCUAUGCAUUGUAAACUGCUUUUGUACGAGGGUAAACUCGGGUACGUGUACCCGACUGAAAGUAUCGUACGAAUAAGGAUCGGCUAACUCCGUGCCAGCAGCCGCGGUAAUACGGAGGAUCCGAGCGUUAUCCGGAUUUAUUGGGUUUAAAGGGUACGUAGGCGGUUGAAUAAGUUAGAGGUGAAAGCUCGAUGCUCAACAUCGAAAUUGCCUCUGAUACUGUUCGACUAGAGUAUAGUUGCGGAAGGCGGAAUGUGUGGUGUAGCGGUGAAAUGCUUAGAUAUCACACAGAACACCGAUUGCGAAGGCAGCUUUCCAAACUAUCACUGACGCUGAGGCACGAAAGCGUGGGGAGCAAACAGGAUUAGAUACCCUGGUAGUCCACGCC